UUGACCUCGGAUCAGGUAGGAAUACCCGCAGAACUUAAGCAUAUCAAUAAG
rnacentral:rRNA from 1 species